rnacentral:rRNA from 1 species
AUGCGGCGGGAAGAAGUGGCAUUUAGAAGUGUUGCUGACUUUACAUUUAGGUUUCGGCAUAACAAAGCUUGCACUGUCUUUUCGCACUUAGGCGCACAGCGUGCCGCUGGUAAUGAUUCUACUACGGUGCUGCAAAUUCACAAGCUAAUCCUAAGUAAUCAUUGUUGUUCAUUGGAUUCCUCUGGAAUUACUUAGUUAGGAUUGAAGAAUUGCAUCAAUUCUUCCUGA